rnacentral:rRNA from 1 species
AACGUAGGACGCAAGCGUUAUCCGGAAUUACUGGGCGUAAAGCGCGUGUAGGUGGUUAGAUAAGUCACUGUUGAAAGCUCCUGGCUAAACUGGGAGAGGCGCGGUGAGACUGUCUGGCUAGAGUUUGGGAGAGGGAUGCAGAAUUCCGGGUGUAGUGGUGAAAUGCGUAGAGAUCCGGAGGAAUACCAGAGGCGAAGGCGGUAUCCUGGCCUAAUACUGACACUGAGACGCGAAAGCAUGGGGAGCGAACGGG